GACGUAGGGCGCGAGCGUUGUCCGGAUUUAUUGGGCGUAAAGAGCUCGUAGGCGGCUUGUCGCGUCGACUGUGAAAACCCGUGGCUCAACCAUGUGGUCUGCAGUCGAUACGGGCAGGCUAGAAUUCGGUAGGGGAGACUGGAAUUCCUGGUGUAGCGGUGAAAUGCGCAGAUAUUAGGAGGAACACCGGUGGCGAAGGCGGGUCUCUGGGCCGAUAUUGACGCUGAGGAGCGAAAGCGUGGGGAGCGAACAGG
rnacentral:rRNA from 1 species